GCCAAAGUACUUACCAUCUGUAAACUGAAGAUUUUACCGUGUUUAAAUAAAAUUGUAUUGUAUUGUAUUGUAUUGAAUAGUAAUGUGUAAGCACUCACGUGAAUGGACCUUGGCUACGUGUUAGCCUUUUAGUAAGUAAAACGGGGAUUAUAAGUCAAUAUAAAAGUAUAAAAAUGUCAGAAAGUGAAUGGCAUGUAAUAGCCCCGCCUAAUAAUAUUUUAAUUCAAUGGCAG